rnacentral:lncRNA from 1 species
UUUUUUGGUUACUACAUGAUUCCAUAUGUGUUAUUUCAUAGUUUUGAUGUCUUCACUAUUAUUCUACAAUGUAAAAAAGAGUAAAAGAAAAAGACAAACCCUUGAGUAGGUGUGGUUCUGGUACUGUAUAUAAAUAUACAGUAUAUGUAAAACAAAUACUAUAUGUUAAAUAUAUAUGAUAAUAUAUAACACAAAUAUUUCUGUAAUGACAGGCACUUUUCAUGAUCAAAGGGGUUGACCUUGUACACUGCCAAUACCUAUUAACAUAAUAUGAUACUCGUGUAGUCUGAACGUUGAUGGGAGGCUGCUGGCACUACAACGCUUGUUUCCUUUUAGUGUGACCCACAGAAAACCAUUGUAGGCUAUAUCCACUCACCAUUCAUCUGGCUUGAAGGACCUUUGGAGGCUAGUGUGAACAUCCCUUAAACCCACAACUCACUCUGUACACUAACAGCUAUUAAAAGUAUGGGCGAAUUAGUUCAAUGUAAAAAAAGAAAGUGGAGAUAUUUUUAUGACUUAUUACGACUUCCAUUGAUGGAAUAUCUAUACAGAAAUAUUAUUUUAUCAUACAGAUGAAUAGAGUGAUUGGUACACUGUCCAUAUCUCUAGGAAGUUUAUGGAAGAGAAUGAUGAUCGUAUCAAUAUUGACCUAACGGAGCUGGUGCAAAGGCCUGCUUACAGUAUAUAGACACUGGCAUGGAAAGCACCUCACAGGCUCACUGCCAUUAGAACAGACUAGUGACGUAUAGUCAUUGUCCCCUGACUGGAAUAUUAGAUAUGUGUAAAUUAGAUAUAGAUGUAAUAGAGGUCAUAAUAAUAAAGCUGUACAAAAAAAAUUAAAAAAAUAAGGGAAACGAUAUUUAUCAAAAUCCAAUUAUGUGUAUGUUUAUGUUUGAAGGAGUUUGUAACUGUGUUCAAUCACUUUGCCUCAGGAAAGCACACACAAAAUGCACCGUGGCGAAACGAAAGGGGACGUCAAUAUGCAUAGUAGUAAGGGCUUAUUAUUCCAAUGUUGGUCAAUCAAGAAAGCCAUCUUGUUACUGUCCCAUCCAGUCCUACAUCUACUCUGGAUUACAUGGGCUUCAGACCACAGCAUUUUGCCAGGGACAAAUAAAACACUCAUGUCUUUUUUUUACGUCAACCAAAAAUGUUGCUUUUAAAGUAGCAUAGCAAACUGUGACGAUCUGCCCUUACCGUGGGUGGUUGUGGAUGGCUAUGCACAGUGAACAACUAAAAGUAUUUAUUACUAUGGAUGAAGAGAAAAGGGUGACAGGUUUAGGAAGGAAACGCUGAAACGAAGGAGAAAAAAAAGCUACAGGAAACUGUUUCACAACCAUCAGGGAGCAGUCAUCUUUUAAAAUAGUGAAAAGUAACAAAUGCAUGAGCUAAUGCAGCCUAACGCCCGACUCCCCAGCCUCAGGCCUCUCCUUUCACCUGGCAACCAUAUUCACUGUAAAUACCAGUCAGGACCAUAGACCACGCUGUACAACAUGUAAAUGUCAUACUGAACACCAUCACAGGCAUGGGACGCCAUAGUGUGCAGUGAAGCCACACAGGCCGACCUCGCCAAACUUGUGCUUUUGUGUAACAAAAAAAAGAAGAAAAAAAAAGAGCAGUUAUUGCUUUUUUUAAAGCAUUGUGUAUGUGGCUGGCUCGUGCAGACUGUUUAAAAUCAAAAAGUUGUAUUCAGAAACAUAUUGGUCAGUGUAGAGUUUCUAUACAUGUUGUGUUUGUAAAAUGAGAAGAAAAAAAAAACCUCAAAAGGGAUAUCCUGGCUUCCAUGCACAACAAUUUUUUGGGGGGGGUGUAUAAAAAAAUGUAAUCUAAUUGAAAAAAGCUACAGAAAAUAAAAGGCAGAGUCCCUAAAUGAAUCAAAUGUUACAUUCACUGUUGUAAGUGCAAUGAGCUAUACUUCACGUAUCCAUUGUAAAACAUUGUGUAUGUUUCAGUGUAUUCCUGUAAAACAAUUGUAUUAGACUUGGUGCAUCAUGUCAUGUAAUGUGAUGAAUGAAAUAAUGACCUUACAAUACAUUUCAAUCAGGAAAAGAAUAAAAGAGAACAAAAAAA